rnacentral:pre_miRNA from 1 species
AGUGGAAUUGCUGGGUCAUGUGGUAGUUUUAUGUUUAGCUUUUUGAGGAACUGCCAAACUGUUUUCCACAGUGGCUGCACCAUUUUAUAUUCCCACCAGCAGU